rnacentral:tRNA from 1 species
GCCCAGAUAGCUCAGUCGGUAGAGCAGUGGACUGAAAAUCCACGUGUCGUUGGUUCGAUUCCGACUCUGGGCACCA